GUUUGAUCAUGAUAUGAUUGGAUUGAGCGUUAAAAGUGGGUGCUUCAAUCAAGUUUCAUCUUGCGGCCUCUUUGUUUCAAAGUAACAAAAGGUUCCAAGUGCUUGAGGAAUUACCGCUUUUGAAUUGCCGCUUUUCUUAAAUGUAAGGAGGCCCAAAAGAUGAAGGGUAAAGUAAAAUGGUUUAAUGCUGAAAAAGGUUAUGGAUUCAUUGAGCGUGAAGAUGGUGGCGACGUAUUCGUUCACUACUCCGCGAUCCAAACCGAAGGCUUCAAAACCCUUGAAGAAGGCGAAGCAAUCGAAUUCGAUAUCGUUCAAGGCGAUCGUGGUCCUCAAGCAGCCAACGUGAUUCGCGUAACAAGAUAAGGAUGACCAAUCCAAGCACUUCCUUCAUGGGAAGUGCUUUUCU
rnacentral:sRNA from 1 species